rnacentral:tRNA from 1 species
GUCCUCGUAUUUCAAUGGAUAGAAUGGCCCCCUCCGAAGGGGCCGAUGUGGGUUCAACUCCCGCCGAGGACA